rnacentral:antisense_RNA from 1 species
CCUUGGCAGUCGCGUUCCGACUCCGGUCUGGUGUAUGGGUUGCACUCGGUCUCUCUGGCUAUUUUGUGUGUUCCGAUCUGACAGCCCACAUGCCUCUGCUGUACGCCUCGGCCACAGGACACAGAGCACUAAGAAGACAGAGAACCGCCAGUUUGGAUAAUAUCUCAAGGCUUAAUAGGGAAGGAAGGUGGCAUUGAAAAAAAAAAAAUGUCCACAGCAUUACAGCAGCAAUCCUGUGUGGCAUUUUUGGCUCACUCAAGACUGUGGGUAAAUCCUGAGAAUUGGAGCCAAAAAUAAAGCUCAUGAACCUGAAAUUACCAUGAAAUUCUGAUUUUAAGAAGUCCUACUAUGAAAUAGUGAUAUAUUUCUUCAACAAAAUGCCUUGUGAUUCACUGACUGGGAUAAAGGUGCAUUUCCAAAAUACAACUAUGUUCAAUUUCUUAAUUAAACGAUUUAAGAAUAAAACUCUUCAACCAUUUUCCAGAGGAUAAGCUCUCGUUUUCCCAGUCCAUUGGGAAGAGGUGAAAAAGGCACGUUAGAAACUGAAAGGUAAGCUAGCAGGAAUAUGGAAAGAGAAAUUCUGCUGUGAGAAAUUCAUAGAACUACCUGGCAGAAAAGGAAGGGUGAUAUUGCCUCCCAGGGAACAUUUGGCAACGUCUGAAGAUAUUUUUCACUGUCACAACCGAGGGGGUAUGCUAUUGG